rnacentral:lncRNA from 1 species
AUAACUUUCGCAUACGAGCUCCAUUUUCGACGUUCUUUAUCUGCACACGUAGGUGACAUUAUGAUCUACAACUCUCAUUUAGACUCUGUUGGCUAAAUUUGAAUUUAUUUUUAUUAUAUUUUUAUUAGUAGGCCGGGACAUGAAAACUCCGUUAGAAAUCCAUAACUUCUUCGUCUAACGUCCGUUUUCGUCUGUCUUUUUACCUUUGGGCUACUAUCGAUGAAAUCUUCAAUUAUCAUUUAGAAAGUUUCGGCUAGAUACUGUUGGAUUAAUGUCUAAGUCCAUAACUAUAUUUGGUAUGUACUUGACCCGACCCGGCAUGGUCCAUUUGGGUUGCACUUCACCCACACAAUUUAUAUGGAUAAUCUUUUGAGAAUAGUAUGUUUAUGAUUAAUAUUAAUAUAUUAUAAGUUCUAAUAUAUUAAUAUGGAAUCAUAUUAUUUAACUAGUAUUGAUCAAGAAUUAAUUUAUAAUUAAUUAAGUGAUCAAAAGGAACUAAUUAAAUAUGGACUCUUAUAUAUAUGGAAUGGGCCAAGUUCAUUUAGGUUGGGCUAAGCUUUCAUGGAUAGUCCAUGGAGUGUUUAACCCAUGGAUCCUAGGAAAUGAAAGGUCAUGGGUAUUAGGGUUUAACCCUAAUCCUCCAUACUAUAUAAAGAUGUCUUUGGUUGGUGAAAUUGGCACUAGUGUGGAUACACUAAAGAAGGGCUAGCCAAUUUCACUAGAGAGAACCAAGUAAUCAUAUUCUCUAAAGUAUUCCAAGGUGUCUUGGUGAUUUGUGAUUCCACUUGAGGCUUCCACACUAUUGGGGCUAAGCUCUUAAAGCUUGAAGACAUCAAGCUACAUCAAAAGGUAUGUCUUCUAACUAGUACUUUGUAGAUUAAGAACAUCAUAAUAUGCUAGUUAGGAUUAAAGCCUUGGAAAGUUCUUAUUUGCAUGUAUAAUAGAGAAAACAUAGAUCCAAGGUUUAUAGGGUUGCAUGUACACCAUAGGAGUGUUAGAAUGCUCAAAACCCAACAGUGGUAUCAGAGCCACGGGUUGUUUUCUGUUAUAUUGAUGCAAAUAUUUUAUUUUCAAAGUUGAAAAAAAAAAAAAAAAAAAACAUGAAGUUUGUCAAAUUUUAAGAUAAUUACUUGUUCUUGUGAAAAACUAAUUAUUUGUAAAAUUUGAAUAAUUUGCUUUAUGAGUUGAAUUAGGUCAAAUUUAAUAAAAGAUAAAAUAAUAUGAUUAUUUUAUUAGUUUUAAAAGUUUGAUCUAAAGAGUUUUAUUUUUUGAAACCUCCAUAAGUUAUGGAUAUGAAAAGGUUUUAAAAAAAAAAUUGAUUCAAAGUUUUUUUGGAGUUACAAAAUUUGGUGUUAAUGUUUUAAAGGAUUCCAUAACUUAAGAAUAAGUUAUGGAUCACCAAAAGUUUUUUGUGUUACCUUGUUUUAUGAGUGAAUUUAGAUUAAUGAAUAAAAUUAUGUGAUAGUUGGUUUUAAUCCAAAUUAAUCUAAGAAUUGAUUCUAAAAUGUGUUUUUGUAACUUGUCCUCAAGUUAUAUGAAAAGUCACAUUUAAGAAUCAUAAAACUCAUAAAAAUUGGCAAAGGUUACAAAAAUGAAGAGUCUAGUUCUAAUUAAAUGGUUUUAUGACUCCAUAACUUGUCCUCAAGUUAUGGAGGACCAAGAGUCUCUUCAUUUAAUAAAAUAAAAUAAAAAAAAAAAAAGUGUAACCUUAAUUAAUUCCAUAAGUUAUAAAAUAAAGAAAAGUUAAUUCUUUUAUUAGUUUAAAGUCUUCCAUAACUUGUCCUCAAGUUAUGGAACUUGAAGAGUUUUUGGAUUAAAACUACUUUAAACACAUAAGUUAUGGAAUUAAUUAGUUUUGAAUAGUUUCAAAACUUGCCCUCAAGUUUUGGAAUUUGUAAAGUUUUCACUUAUGAAUACUUUAAUUCCAAGUUAGCCCUUAGAAUUUUAAAAGUUAAAAUUCAACCCUUAUACUUUAUAAUAUUAUAAGUUAAUAAUAUAUAUAUGUAUAAGAGUAAAGUCAGUCUUACCGCUAGUACGCCUCAUUCACGAAGCCGGUCUAUAAGGUGGGUAUAAGGUUGUUGCCUAUAAAAUGGCAACUUAAUGGGUGUCCACUCUCACCCACCGCUUGCUUGACUGGUGGAGGGUCGUUAGCCGAACGGGUUUGACAGGACUAGAAUUCUCCCUUCAUUAAAAGUAUUAAUGAUAAUACUAAGUAACUAAACUCUUAAUAAUACCCAAUCUUAGUUACUUAGGAAAAAUGUGAAUAAGGUGCUAAUCCAUGAAAUUACACUUUACACUUUGUCUAAGUCGUUAGUGGAGCGUGUGUGGUUAACCGGCACACUAACUUGGACUUAACAAGGUAGGUAAAGGGUGACUUAAUAUUUAUCAUAGUAUCGAUGGAGCGUGUGUGGUUAACCGGCACAUCGAUUGAGGGGUAAUUUAUUAAGGGUACCAAGUGAUUUGCAUGGUUACUUCACACCUUGUUUUGUGAUCCUCGGCAUCCCAGUCACAAAACCUGAAGGGCACACUCGAGAUUGAAACAUGCCUUUGAACAGUUCAAUGAAUCUCAAAGAUCUAGGAGUUUCAAAACCAAUUAAAACCUAAUAAUACAUUUCGUUUAUCUUGGUGGAAAUUGGUGAAUCGUCAUUCACCUACCUUCAAAUAUUUUAUAGCUUGGAUUACGGCAUACCUCUUCUAAGUUAUAAAAUAGUUUGUUGGGUCCUAGCCUUAAUAUUUCAUAUUGGGUGUCAUAUUAAGGACUUUAAAUCAACUAUCUUGAAUAUCUCCCAAAAGAUGUCUGGUUUAGACACCUAUGAUCUUCCCAAAUCUCUUGAAACAAGGUUUCCUAAUGAAGAUGAUGUCCCAUGGAUAUCAUACUUCUUUCUCCUCCUCCAAUUAUUCUCCCUAACCCACAAGUUCUUGAAAAGUUUAAGGUCACUCAAGCCCUAUUGGCAAGGCAAGGUCUAGGUGUGAUCACAUCUUGGAGAUGUAGUCACAUAUUGACAAGCCGGGAGAGUUGGGUGUCAAAGUCUUGAGAAAGUUGGUGGUUCAAUCACUUUCUAAGUCACAUAGUGAGUUCCUUUGGGACACCUAUGAAACAGACUAUGACAAGACCCUUAAUGAUCUUAUCUAUUUGCUAAGAUCAACUUCCUAAAACUUUAUGGACAUUGACAAUGAUGACAUUGGAUAUCCAGUAAAGCAUUCUCUUCCCAAUGGAAAGGGAUCGGCCAUAGUCAACUCGGUUGACCAAAUGGUAAAGAGAAAAGCUAAGUCUGUGAUAGUCUCGUGUACCAUUAUCAAAGGGUCCAUAUGUUUAUAUUGCCAAAGGAAGGGGCAUUGGUUGCGAAGCUGCCAAAUUUACCUAAGGAUGUUAAAGUCAAUAAGUUUGACUCUACUUCAGGUAAAGUCCACUAUCUAACUCUGUUAAGUUUCUAUUCUGAGAUUCCUGAUACAUGAUGUGACUGGGUCACAUGGUGAUGUUUUAAGAAUCAAAGAAAAGUGAAGAAACUUAAAGAAAGAAUAUGCUGAAUCUGAUGGCGUAGAUGGAUUUCUAUCGCAUAGUUUGAAGAUCGGAUUCUUGAGCAACUUCUUAGGAGUUAUGAGAUAUUGCUUAGGAAUAGAUAACAACAAGUUUUCAUAUGGAUUGUAAGGAUAAGUUUUUCCGCAAAGUUUUAAAAUAAAAGAAAAUUUUUGAUUUUAUUUAUUUUAAAAUAUCCUUACAAUGGCAUUUGAGGAAAAAUUGUUGCUUAUAUGAUUCCAUUAAUAGCAAGAGUGGAAAUAUGAAAUUGAUUCUUUCAUUUGUGGUAAUGUCUAGAUUUACCAAAUAAGGAAAGAUUCUCAUCACCCAAGUUUCAAUUGGACCGGAACUUGGAAUCAUGCAAGUUGUAUAGCAUGAUGAAUGAGAACUUUCAAGUUUUGGAAAAUUAAGACUAAUUACUCGGCCACAUGGAUGUGUGAGUCAAGUAAAGGACUAAGGGAUCGAGUACACAUUCUUGUGCACUGAUUAAGUCCACCACAAAAGAUUGAUAAGACUAUUCGUCAUAGUUUACUAAAGCUCAGUAAAUAUGAUUAUACUUACAAGCUUAAGUGUAACUCUGAGACAUUGGAAAAGGUUCCAAUGUAUGGCAGAGCGAAUAAGAAGAAUCAAAUUAGGCAGAAGGAUAAAAGUUUCUCAAAUCUGAAAAGAUGGGAGAGUACUUUAGUAUCAGUUUUGUGAUCAUCUUAAUGAUUAAGAAACCAUAUCAAAAUUAGUUCUCUAAGGAAAUCUUAGUGCAUUCUUAUGACUAAGAAGAGGAACUUGAAUUGUUGAAAUGGUUAAAUCAAGAAGAUGAGUCAUACUUCGUUCCAAUACAAGUCUUAGAGUCAUACUCCAAGAUUGUAAUUUGAGUGACAUGUCUUAAAGAAGGUUUAAAACACUUGUCAAAUGUAAGAGUAAAAGUUUUCUACUCUUGUACAUUUGAAAUUGGUAAGUUGUGAUGUUUUGGAUAAAACAAAGACCAACUUAGGCCAAUUGUGUGAAGUGUUUGUCUUGAUUAGAAUCCACACUAUCUCUUGGAUAUUUGACAAGGGAGUCUUAUAGGUCAAGAGGUCAGUGGGAGUCUUAAAAGUCUUGAAAGUCUCAAGAACUAAUCAAGAAUAAAACCUAAAGUUCUUCACUAGCACACAACUUGAGGUUCAUAACCUAUCGUGUUGACAUAUUCUGUGCCCAUUCCAGUUAAAGUUGGUUUUGCAUAUGAGUUCUUAGAGUUCUCAAUUUGUUGCACAACAACUUGGAAGCAAUGGUAGGCCCUUGAGCUGCCAGGUGGCAAGAAAUUAAGAUUGAGUUCAGUCCAUAUGAGUUUGGAUUUGUCAUUAUCCUUGUCUUGUGACUAUGGUUUUGACAAUUCACAUGGAUAAGAACACAUACACCAUUAAAUCUAAGUGUCAUAAGGUUUCUCUCCGAUUCAUGAAAAUGAUGGUGAGGAAACACUUUCACUAAGUAGAUUUUAGCUAGAUAGCAAUUGUGAUAUUUGCAUUCUCAAAGUCGUUAGUGGAGCGCGUGUGGUUAACCGGCACACUAAUUUGGACUUGUGAGAAGUGGCAAAAAGGUCUAAACAUUAUGAUUACGGCAUCCCUCUUCAUAAUUGUUUAGAUACACAAGUGUGCUAUCUAAGGGAAGGUGUAUGAUUUUGAUAAAGCUUUAUCAAAACAAUCUAGCAUCAGAAAUCUGAACUUUGGUAAGAAAGUCAAUGAAGUAUUGAUUUCUAGAAGUCCAGCUGAUUUCUGAGUACAUGUCAAAGCUAGUGGGAGCAUAAGUGUUAUGCUAAUAAUCAUCAUGUUAGUGGGAGCAUGAUAAUUAUGAUAAGUAUUGCAAGUUAGCAAUGUUAAUUAUAGAAAACAAAAGUUUCAAUUGGGAAAAAGUUGUUUUGCUAUAAUUAAGGGAGAGGAAAUUAUACUUCAUCUCAAAUCUAUAAGCUUAGAUCGUGAGGUUUUAAUCAUUUAGUCAAGGAUAUAUAUGAAUUUCAUGUUGGAAUGGCUCAACAUAAGGAAAUUCUGUAUAUGGGUCCAUUAUUUGCGUUCUAAAAUUCGAUUAUGAUUACGGCAUCCCUUUUCAUAAUCUGAAUUAUGAGAACUUGGCAAAUUGAAAUGGAAAUAUUAUAGCAAAAGACUGGUUUAGUCUUUAUGUAAGACAUCAUGAAUCGUGUCCCAUAUGCUUCGGAUAUAGGAUCGAUUACAUGUGCUAUAUUCAUCCGUUCUAAAAUUUUCCAAAUGCCUGGGGCAUUAAGAAGGGAAAAGGUUUAGAACUGGAUAUGACUAAAAGGAUUAAACAAUUGUCGAGGACAAUCUAAGGUUUACCAAAGAUUGGUUGCUCAAGGACAGUUGGAAGUAUAGUGAUAAUUCUGGAAGGACCAUAUUGACAUAAUCUGUAAGGAGGCAACUCUUGUUCAGAAGUGAUAGUCAAAAUGGAAUCUGGAAAUGUUUCAAAGUUAGAAUUUUCAAUCUGUUUAAGAUUAGGAAACUUAAUGCAAGAAGGAUGUUUCCAAGGAGCUGAUCUCCUUUGGAAUACUCUGUAAUGAUUGUUGUCAAGUCUUUCUGACUUUGUGCAUAAUCAUUACAAGAGGAUCAAUGCAUAUAAGUUUAGAAUCUAACAGAUUUCAGUAAAUGGCAUGAAUUUGGAAUUCUUGCAUUUGCAGUAAGGAUUUGGGAGUGUGAAAAGAGAAUCAUUGAAGUUAUGUUCAAUUGAUCUAGUUCACAAAGUAAAGAUCAUAGACAAACAUAGUAUGCAUACUUGGUGUGUGGCAUGACUAGUGUUUAAGAAAACAUAGUGUACAUGCUUGGAGCAUGGGACAACUAUUGUUUUAAAUUCAAGAAUAAAGUUGAUAGCUGAAACAGUAUACAAUGAAUAAUGUGUAAUCAUAUGGUGAUAAAUAAAAGGUGUUUUAUUUAUGUUCAAAGAUUUGAUACCAUAUUGGAUUCAAUUAUUAUUGUGUUUCACUUUGCAUGUUUUGACUUCCCGAAUAAACUAGGUUAUUCUUCCGGAAUGACUAAGUUAUUCAAACCAUCCACAGUCGGUCAUAUGUUGGAAGUAGAUAUGAAUUAAGACUGUCAUGGGUUGGCUUGUAGAGGUCUAAGGUGUUGGACAAAGGGCUACAACACUCAUGAGUGCUCAUAAGUUCUGAGUAUUGGAUUCAACCCGCGCUCAUUGGAAUCACUUCAUGGAUUUUAUCACGAGUGAUCAUGAGACGAUAAUAUCUUAUAUUCUUCAAACCUAGAGAUAUGAGUUGUUACUAUGAGUUGGUUGUACAUUGAUUGCACGAAAACGCAUUUGGUAACUCGGUGCUAUAAAACGUGCCUUUGUGUAUGAUUCAACAAGUAGUAGAACAAGCCAUAUGAGUCGAAGUUUAUCCAUUCCUUUUACCUUCGGGAUAAAAGCGAUAUCUGUGGGCCCCUCGAUGAUUUGAUGAUGACAAAUGGAAGUGCUCGGCCGGGCCAGGACUGAUUUGAUUUGUUCAAUUAGUCAGUCGUCAUAAAUCGGAAAUCGGGAAACAACAAAUGGACAGAGAGAAUGAUUAUAAUCCAUGUCUCAGUCCAUAUGAUAUCUAGAAUGGAGGAAUAUAUGAUCCCUUAUCUAAUGGACAAGUUCGUUGACAAGAUCAGAGUUCGACAGCAGCUUUAAGAGCUACGAUUGCCAGUUAGGUUUGAAGUCAUACGCAAUAAUAGUUUUAGACUUAUCCAAGUGGGAGACUGUUGGAUUAAUGUCUAAGUCCAUAACUAUAUUUGGUAUGUACUUGACCCGACCCGGCAUGGUCCAUUUGGGUUGCACUUCACCGACACAAUUUAUAUGGAUAAUCUUUUGAGAAUAGUAUGUUUAUGAUUAAUAUUAAUAUAUUAUAAGUUCUAAUAUAUUAAUAUGGAAUCAUAUUAUUUAACUAGUAUUGAUCAAGAAUUAAUUUAUAAUUAAUUAAGUGAUCAAAAGGAACUAAUUAAAUAUGGACUCUUAUAUAUAUGGAAUGGGCCAAGUUCAUUUAGGUUGGGCUAAGCUUUCAUGGAUAGUCCAUGGAGUGUUUAACCCAUGGAUCCCAGGAAAUGAAAGGUCAUGGGUAUUAGGGUUUAACCCUAAUCCUCCAUACUAUAUAAAGAUGUCUUUGGUUGGUGAAAUUGGCACUAGUGGUGAUACACUAAGAGGGCUAGCCGAUUUCACUAAGAGAAAACCAAGUAUUCAUAUUCUCUAAAGUCUUCCAAGGUGUCUUGGUGAUUUGUGAUUCCACUUGAGGCUUCCACACUAUUGGGGCUAAGCUCUUAAAGCUUGAAGACAUCAAGCUACAUCAAAAGGUAUGUCUUCUAACUAGUACUUUGUAGAUUAAGAACAUCAUAAUAUGCUAGUUAGGAUUAAAGCCUUGGAAAGUUCUUAUUUGCAUGUAUAAUAGAGAAAACAUAGAUCCAAGGUUUAUAGGGUUGCAUGUACACCAUAGGAGUGUUAGAACGCUCAAAACCCAACAGAUACCACUCGAUCUCAAAUUCGAGUAUUCGAGUUGCAUACCGCUAAGUCGAAACUUUGAAAAAUCACAACUUCCUCAUACGAAGUCAGAUUUAGACGUUUUUUUAUGCACGCUCUCGGUUUAACGUAUUCUACGACUUUCAUUUAGAUCGCUCAGGCUAAAUAUCUCUCUAACUUAAAUUCACUAUUUACGUCGCGAUGUGUCGUGCCGGUUCUGUCACGAAACUUCGACAGGUCAUAACCUCUUCAUUAUAACUCAGAUUUCGGCGUUCUUUAUAUGUACGGAAUCCU